rnacentral:rRNA from 1 species
AUUGAACGCUGGCGGAAUGCUUUACACGUGCAAGUCGAACGGCAGCACGGACUUCGGUCUGGUGGCGAGUGGCGAACGGGUGAGUAAUGUAUCGGAACGUGCCCAGUCGUGGGGGAUAACGUAGUGAAAAUUACGCUAAUACCGCAUACGAUCUAUGGAUGAAAGCGGGGGAUCGCAAGACCUCGCGCGAUUGGAGCGGCCGAUAUCAGAUUAGGUAGUUGGUGGGGUAAAGGCCCACAAAGCCAACGAUCUGUAGCUGGUCUGAGAGGACGACCAGCCACACGGGAACUGAGACACGGUCCAGACUCCUACGGGAGGCAGCAGUGGGGAAUUUUGGACAAUGGGCGAAAGCCUGAUCCAGCCAUUCCGCGUGCAGGAUGAAGGCCCUCGGGUUGGAAACUGCUUUUGUACAGAACGAAAAGGUUUCUACUAAUACUAGGAGCUCAUGACGGUACUGUAAGAAUAAGCACCGGCUAACUACGUGCCAGCCGCCGCAGUAA